rfam:Loxodonta africana unplaced genomic scaffold scaffold_33, whole genome shotgun sequence.
ACAUUGGUGGUUCGGUGGUACAAUUCUUGCCUUCCAUGUGGGAGACCCAGGUUUGAUUUCUGGCCAGUGUA